rnacentral:tRNA from 3 species
UUAGAAAAAUAGGAAUUGAACCUAUAA